GGAGAACAGUGUCAUCAGCUUAAAACAUAUCAUACACAAUAUCACCCACUUUCAUUUUCAUAUUGAACUCAUUCACAGCAGUUUCUUAUACAUGCAUCUAUGUACUCAUAAAAUACAAAACAGUUCAAGCACAAAUACAAUUGGGAGGAAGGGAAAAGUCCCAAAGGAAUCCAAGUCCCAAAGGAAUCCUACAACAUUCGCUUCCCUAAGAAAUUCCAGAGACAGGCUUAAAGACAUCUGCAAAUCAGGAGUAUACCAUGUUCCAGUAAAAAAUGCAAAUACAAGGCAAAAAAGUUACUAUAUUGGAUACACAAGUCGCACAUUGGAAGAAAGAAUAGCUAACAAUAAAAAAAGAUCUCCAG
rnacentral:lncRNA from 1 species